GAAAGCUUCAAGAUUAGCGACUCUCUAGGAUCGAGUAUUUCUUUUGAACCCCUUUACAAUAUUCCAAAAGAAAAGAGUUAUGCAGGAACAAUUAGCUAAGAAAUCAAGCAUCACUUUGAAAUAAUUGCUACUUAAGAAGACAAUUAGGAUUCGCAGUCUCUGUAUCUCCCAAUUGUUUUUAUUCUUCACAGGCUGCACCGAUUAGGAGCACUUGAUCCAAUAGCAAUAGUGAACGGUGGAGAAGGAUGGCGCUUCUUUUCUUGCAUAUGGCUACACGCUGGAGUUGCUCAUCUAUUCACAAACAUGAUGAGCCUUCUAUUUAUAGGAAUCCCACUUGAGCAGGACUUUGGAUUUUGUAAGAACUCACCAUCGAUGUGUAGCUACACAUGAUCAAUGCUGCUUUUAUAUGUUCAAUCACUAUUGAUACUCAAAUUACUCGAUGUGGCAGUGAGGAUAGGAGUAUUGUACGUAUUGUCUGGUUUUGGUGGAAGCUUGAUGUCUGCCCUUAGUCCGAAGCCGAAUAUAUCAGUCGGUGCAUCUGGUGCACUUCUUGGACUUCUGGGAUCCAUGCUUUCUGAGCUCUUCUUGAACUGGACAAUCUAUGCAAAUAAGGUAAACAGCAGCUUUCAAAAUAUUAACUAGUAAAUUUUGGCUAUAAAUUAUCUUCUAUAGCAUAAGAAAAUUUUCUAAUCCUGUCAAUUCAGUGUAAAUCAGUUUCCACCCUCCUGCUAAUCAUUACCCUGAAUCUAGCGUUCGGUCUCAUUCCUCAUGUGGACAAUUCAGCUCAUAUCGGAGGAUUUCUUUCAGGAUUUCUUCUUGGUUUCAUUCUUCUAAUGCGUCCUCAAUAUGGAUAUGUAAGCCGCAGGUAUAUACCUGCAGGGUACGAUAUCAAAAGAAAACCCAAACACAAAUGCUAUCAAUAUAUGAUGUUGAUUACAGCGUUGAUCGUCCUAAUUAUAGGGUAAAUAUAUAACUAAAAAAGUUCUUCGUAUAAUACUGUUUUCAAGAUAUUCAUAUUGAAACUAUCAAUUUAGCUAAAAUUUCUGAGAUUUGGCAGGUACCUGUGGGGCUUGACAUUGCUGUAUAGUGGCCGUAGAUUGAAAUUUUCUCAUCAAAACUCCAGUUAAUUAGCUAGCUAGUCCUUCAAAGAGUUCGAGACCAGCAAAAUUAUCCUUCUAUUUAUGUACACUCUUACUGACAUGUAAGUUGGCAUUAUAUAUAUGAAAUAAUUAUGCGCAUAAUCAAAUCUAAUGUUUUUAAGAUUCAAUGGAGGCACAACAUGCCUGGUAUAUGCUACACAGUAUGAGGUAGUCCUCUUGUUUUUUUCACUAUAAAAAUGAAUAAUCUUAUAAUAAGUAGAUGGGUAGACUUGAACUUGAAAUCGCCCCACUCCCUACACUCUUAAAUGUAGAAAAAGCUAUCCCUAAUUGGCACAUAUUCACAUAUUAGACCUAGGAUUAUGAACAUUAUGCAUUUAUAAUAAUAUUUGCACUCAUCAAUGUGGCUCUGCUUUUAUUUCAGGGUAUGUGCUUUCUGUGAGUAAAGAUGAAGGGAAACAAGACAGAAAGAAGACAUCAUGAAGGUUUUGUUUAUUGGCUGGCUUCUAUGGACAUUAGUACACAUUUUGCUUGAGUCAUCACUCUUUCUGUGCUAUGGAAGAACAAUGUGAAUUAUAUAAGUAUUUCUCAUUUUCCAACGGCAGAAUAUCUAGAUUGUAACAGGGAGGAGAAGCAGCAUUUUACUACGAGUUUU
rnacentral:misc_RNA from 1 species